GUCAGGAGGCGAAACGACCGGAUACCAUUAUAAAAAAAUUGAAUUGAAAAUCCUGGAACUUUUCUUUUAUUAUAUUGAUGUCUAACUAGGAAAAAAAAGUUAGUUUAAGAGUGUUGAUCUUAUAGAAGAGAGACAGAUGAUUUUGAUUAAUAAAUAUGUUCGAAUAAUUCGAAAUUCGGUCGUGAAUGAAGAAGUCACCACAUGAUUGAUAGUGUGUACAUUCGCUGUACAUCAUCGUUGUACAUCGAGAUCGACGUUCACAAACCCCAGUUCCCAAGUUUAUAUAGCUGCCCUAUCCCUCGGACCACUCUCAUCACCGAUCUCACAUUGUAACUUGAUAUCAUAAUAGAGCCAUAGGCAAAAUCGGCAGUCUGAGUCUAUACGACACUUACAGAGUUGGCCCGGAGUGGCGACGGUAAGCUUAUUAUUGACAAUGGGAGACUGCUAAAAUGAGGAAACUACCAACUGGCAAAGCGAGGAUGCAAUCAUUCCAGAUUCCAAAUUUAGCAGUCUUCUAUCGUCUACACCAAAGCGUAAUAAUAUACCCUCACCACUUCCGGGCCAACUCUGUCGUAUAGUCGAGUGGAUCGCAUGGGAUGUGCUGGUGCUAGCCUAAGAGAGUCUACAAGCAGCAGCUGAACAGUAACAUAUUCUUCCUGACGAGCAAGGAUCGCGAGCUAGCCAGCGUAAAAAAUGAUCUCGACAAGGUUGAGAAAGCUGACAGGACAACAUCUACACCUAAACGCCAGGACAACAUCUACACCUAAACGCCAGGACAACAUCUACACCUAAACGCCAGGACAACAUCUACACCUAAACGCCAGGACAACAUCUACACCUAAACGCCAGGACAACAUCUACACCUAAAGGCCAGGACAACAUCUACACCUAAAGGCCAGGACAACAUCUACACCUAAACCCCAGGACAACAUCUACACCUAAACGCCAGGACAACAUCUACACCUAAAGGCCAGUAGGGUUUGGAAAACACGCAAGACGGUUGUGCUGAUGACGUCUGUCGGCCAUAGUGGGCGUGUCAUGCAGCAACUUGGGACAGAUGUGACAGAUGACCUCUUGUGUGAUGUGACACUCAAGGCCGGCAAUCAUUCUGUCAGUGGUCACCGUAUCGUCUUUGCAGCAAACACCCGCUUAUUUUCGCGUGAUGUUUACUGGGAACUGGAGCAAGAGGCAGAGAAGUGAGGUCGUUCUGCAGGAUCUGACAGCGGGGGGGUCUCAAGGCUGUGAUUCAGUUGUGUUAUCAUGGAGAAAUAACCGUUGAUGGCAUCACCGACAUCAGGGAUAUCAUUACAGCCAUCCAUCACUGUCGGGUAUUGGAGGCAUCACUGCCAGUCACUGGACGAGUCCUCGGAACUGUAUGAACUUGCAUAUCUGUUUGACAUCAAAGGUAUUCUUGAUUGUGCGGUUGAAAAGUUUGUUGUCAUGAAGGAUUAUCAUGGAGAUAAUCCAUUCUGGAAGCUGAAAGAAACGUUAUUCUUCCAUUUCGUGGAAGCUCGGUGACCUUCUGGUUUUAGAAGAUACCACUUUGGAAAAUCUGUCUUUGUUCACUUCAUAAAACAAUAGGCUCAAGCAGAUUUUGAGGAAAGGCAAGUGCUGUUUGUGCCGAUUGUUAGAAAGUAUUGUUCAUGUGAACAGUCGGAUCACCCUUAUUACAUGCCAAAAGCCUGCAGCGGUGCUAUGAAUAACUUUUGCCCAACUCUAAUUGACGAGGCAAUGGGGAAUCACGAUGCGGGAGAACUGUGUCUUGUGUCAUCUUUAAAGAUUUCUUCGGCCUCAAGCGAUCUAGCAGUUUACCAUACCGUAAAGAAGCAUGGAAGGAAUUGCAUUUUCCCCCACUCAACAAUUCCACAUUUCCUUGGGGGAACAUGUAUCAUAAUACAAAUGUGGUGUGCACUUCUAGGAAAAUUAAACUCAAAAUUAUAACUAAAGUGAAAAACAGCAUAGUUUCAUUGGCAGUACUUUUUUUUUUUUAAAUCUGAAAAUCUAGUAUAUGUUUGAGAGACGUGACGUCUUCAUCCUGCUCUAAUUCAUAUGGAGGCCACAUGCAGUAUCUUGAACAGUGUAUGAAUGGAUAUUUACAUAAUGACCAAAUUGUCAGAUGCAAUGAUAUUGUUAAAAUAAACAAAAUAUGUGUAGG